CAGCGCGUAGCUAAAUAGCAGAGCAUCUCCCUUACACCGAGAAGACACCCGUGCAAAUCGAGUCGUGCUGA
rnacentral:tRNA from 1 species